CAUGUCCGGAACUUGCCAGAGAUGGCUUGGUGCCCGAAAGGGAAAUCGGAACACAGGUGCUGCAUGGCUGUCGUCAGCUCGUGUCGUGAGAUGUUGGGUUAAGUCCCGCAACGAGCGCAACCCUUAUCAUUAGUUGCUACGCAAGGGCACUCUAAUGAGACUGCCGGUGACAAACCGGAGGAAGGUGGGGAUGACGUCAAGUCCUCAUGGCCCUUAUGGGUAGGGCUUCACACGUCAUACAAUGGUCGGUACAGAGGGUUGCCAAGCCGCGAGGCGGAGCCAAUCCCACAAAGCCGAUCGUAGUCCGGAUUGUUCUCUGCAACUCGAGAGCAUGAAGUCGGAAUCGCUAGUAAUCGCAGGUCAGCAUACUGCGGUGAAUACGUUCCCGGGUCUU
rnacentral:rRNA from 1 species